AAGGGCGCUAUGUUCAAAAAUCUGAAACUAGAGCGCAAAAUUUGAAAAAAAAUUGUUAAAAACAGGGGGAAUGGCCUAUUCCAUGGCUUCUAGAGAAAAAUAAUGAGGGGUGUCACGGGGUAUGACUAUAUAGGUCUUGUAGAGGAGAAACAGGCGCAUCUUUUGCGCAAGGUAUCGAAGGGCGCUAUGUUCAAGAAUCUGAAACUAGAGCGCAAAAUUUGAAAAAAAAUUUGUUAAAAACAGGGGGGUUGGCCUAUUCCAUGGCUUCUACAGAAAAAUAAAGAGGGGUGUCGCGGGGUAUGACUAUAUAGGUCUUGUAGAGGAGAAACAGGCGCAUCUUUUGCGCAAGGUAUCGAAGGGCGCUAUGUUCAAAAAUCUGAAACUAGAGUCCAAAAUUUGAAAAAAAUUGUUAAAAACAGGGGGGUUGGCCUAUUCCAUGGCUUCUAGAGAAAAAUAAUGAGGGGUGUCACGGGGUAUGACUAUAUAGGUCUUGUAGAAGAGAAACAGGCGCAUCUUUUGCGCAAGGUAUCGAAGGGCGCUAUGUUCAAAAAUCUGAAACUAGAGCUCAAAAUUUGAAAAAAAAGUGUUAAAAACAGGGGGGUUGGCCUAUUCCAUGGCUUCUAGAGAAAAAUAAUGAGGAGUGUCACGGGGUAUGACUAUAUAGGUCUUAAAGAAGAGAAACAGGCGCAUCUUUUGCGCAAGGUAUCGAAGGGCGCUAUGUUCAAAAAUCUGAAACUAGAGCUCAAAAUUUGAAAAAAAAGUGUUAAAAACAGGGGGGUUGGCCUAUUCCAUGGCUUCUAGAGAAAAAUAAUGAGGGGUGUCACGGGGUAUGACUAUAUAGGUCUUGUAGAAGAGAAACAGGCCCAUCUUUUGCGCAAGGUAUCGAAAGGAGCUAUGUUCAAAAAUCUGAAACUAGAGCUCAAAAUUUGAAAAAAAAUAGUUAAAAACAGGGGGUUGGCCUAUUCCAUGGCUUCUAGAGAAAAAUAAUGAGGGGUGUCACGGGGUAUGACUAUAUAGGUCUUGUAGAGGAGAAACAGGCGCAUCUUUUGCGUAAGGUAUCGAAGGGCGCUAUGUUCGAAAAUCUGAAACUAGAGCUUAAAAUUUGAAAAAAAAUUGUUAAAACAGGGGGGUUGGCCUAUUCCAUGGCUUCUAGAGAAAAAUAAUGAGGGGUGUCACGUGGUAUGACUAUAUAGGUCUUGUAGAGGAGAAACAGGCGCAUCUUUUGCGCAAAGUAUCGAAGGGCGCUAUGAUAAAAAAUAUGAAACAAGAGCUCAAAAUUUGAAAAAAAUUGUUAAAAACAGGGGGAAUGGCCUAUUCCAUGGCUUCUAGAGAAAAAUAAUGAGGGAUGUCACGGGGUAUAAC